rnacentral:rRNA from 1 species
AGUGAACGCUGGCGGUAGGCCUAACACAUGCAAGUCGAACGGCAGCACAGUAAGAGCUUGCUCUUACGGGUGGCGAGUGGCGGACGGGUGAGGAAUACAUCGGAAUCUACUUUUUCGUGGGGGAUAACGUAGGGAAACUUACGCUAAUACCGCAUACGACCUACGGGUGAAAGCAGGGGAUCUUCGGACCUUGCGCGAUUGAAUGAGCCGAUGUCGGAUUAGCUAGUUGGCGGGGUAAAGGCCCACCAAGGCGACGAUCCGUAGCUGGUCUGAGAGGAUGAGCAGGCACACUGGAACUGGGAAACGGUCCAGACUCCGACGGGAGGCAGCAGUGGGGAAUAUUGCACAAUGGGCGCAAGCCUGAGCGAGACAUACCGCGUGGGUGAAGAAGGUCUUCGGGUUGUAAAGGCCUUUUGUUGGGGAAGAAAAGCAGGAGGUAAAGACCCCGCUGUUAUGACGGUACCCAAAGAAUAAGCACCGGCUAACUUCGUG